AUGGCUCAAAGAUUGACACCAAGAAAAUCGUUCUUCGGUGCUCUGAUGUUUCUUGUCUUCCCACAUACAGGGAUAUCAAACAAAGAGAUAUCCAUUUCUCAAACAAACGAGGAAGCAGCCAUCAUCCUGACCUGUCACCUGUCUGGGAAUAUGACAGUCAUUCAGACAAGCUGGGUGAUGAGCCCUAAUAGAACUAAUGUAGGCACCUUCCACCCCGUGUACGGCACCCAUGUCCUCCCACAGUACACGGAACACGUGGAGAUCCUCAGUGAUCCUCCCAACUCCCAUAGGAGCUCCUUGAGGCUGAAGAACGGGGCGAUGAAUGGACCAAUCUCUUCUGCUGUGUGUUCACCACCUUCCCCUCAGGCACGCUGGACUGCUGUACAGACAUCAACCACAACACCACCCAAGCACUGACGCAAGAGAAAACUACAGGGGAUGACCACAGGUUUGUGAGCCGUUGGGCAUUACUGACUGGAGGCAGCAUCCUCUCUCUCAUCAUUUUGAGCAUGUCCAUAUUUUUUUGCUGGAGGAACAACGUCAGAAGGUAUUUCACACACAUGCACAAGCGCAUGCACACACACAUACACACACCCACACAUACACACACACAAACAUUUAAUAAGUGUGUAUACAAUCCUCAAUUAAGACAUAAAAACGAAAAGUGUUGCAUUGUGUUAUGUUGCUGUUGUGUAGCUAAAGAGGGUAAGAAAAGGAAAUGCCUGUUAUUAUUUCUCCAGGCAAGUGUAUUUGAAAUCCAGAGUGCAUAUCUACCAGACCCCCAGCCUGAACCAGAACCAGAGGUAAGAGUCAUCUGAGGCACCUCCAACAGGAAGAAAGCACUUUUGCAUGGCGUCAAAACCAUCUUUAUCAACUGUUUAAUUAUAUGGCGUCAAACUAUCUUUAUCAACUCUUUACAUGGCGUCAAACUAUCUUCAUCAACUCUUUAAUUUACAUGGCGUCAAACUAUCUUCAUCAAAGUAUCUUCAUGGCCUGCUGUUUACCUCGACAGCUGGAAACCACACUGAGGCUCAAGCCUCUUGCUUCCUGUUGUUUCGUGUGUGACUGUAUCUUGUGGUGAGGGCUGGCGACUCAGGCCCUUUCUGGUGGAGGUGUUAGGCUGACAUUUCAAAAAUCAUUUUCCAUGAAGCAAGACAGCAACUUUGAGUACGAUAAAGAUCUGAAGCUCGCAAGUGGAACAUUAAUUCUGCAUUAAAAGCACUUUCACAACCACUCCAACCCCCGUGGUAGUCAGAGAGAAAGUGCAUACUACCUGCUGUUAUCAUAAUAUAGACCUGCUUCACCUCAGCUGGGGCUGGGUUUGAACUAUUAUACUGUUUUACUGAACUGAUCUCUUGCACAUCAUUCCUGCAGGCAGAUCCUGAACCCUGUCCCCAGCCAACCCCCGCUCUAGGAUUUGACCCAUUCAAACUCUACGCAAAAAUAAAAGAGGAUCUGUACUAUGGUCGGCUGUGGAG
rnacentral:lncRNA from 1 species